rnacentral:rRNA from 1 species
UACGUAGGGGGCGAGCGUUGUCCGGAUUUAUUGGGCGUAAAGAGCUCGUAGGCGGUUUGGUAAGUUGGAUGUGAAAUCUCCAGGCUCAACUUGGAGGGGUCAUUCGAUACUGCCAUGACUAGAGUUCGGUAGGGGAGUGUGGAAUUCCUGGUGGAGCGGUAAAAUGCGCAGAUAUCAGGAGGAACACCCGUAGCGAAGGCGGCACUCUGGGCCGGAACUGACGCUGAGGAGCGAAAGCGUGGGGAGCGAACAGG